rnacentral:rRNA from 1 species
AACGUAGGAGACAAACGUUAUCCGGAGUUACUGGGCGUAAAGGGCGUGUAGGCGGUUCGUUAAGUCUGGCGUGAAAGCUCUCGGCUAAACCGGGAGAGGUCGUUGGAUACUGGCAAACUAGAGGACGGUAGAGGCGUGUGGAAUUCCGGGUGUAGUGGUGAAAUGCGUAGAGAUCCGGAGGAACACCGGUGGCGAAGGCGGCCUGCUGGGCAGUAGCUGACACUGAGGCGCGACAGCGUGGGGAGCAAACAGG